GAAUAAAGUCAGCUAAUAAAGCUAAUGAGUUCAUAUCUCAUAAAUGAAUGAAAUAUUUAUUCC
rnacentral:tRNA from 1 species